rnacentral:rRNA from 1 species
AUUGAACGCUAGCGGGAUGCUUUACACAUGCAAGUCGAACGAGUGGCGGACGGGUGAGUAAUAUAUCGGAACGUGCCCCGUAGAGGGGGAUAACUACUCGAAAGAGGGCUAAUACCGCAUACUAUUGGAGCAGCCCAUAUCGGAUUAGCUAGUUGGUGGGGUAAAGGCUCACCAAGGCAACGAUCCGUAGCUGGUCUGAGAGGAUGACCAGCCACACUGGGACUGAGACACGGCCCAGACUCCUACGGGAGGCAGCAGUGGGGAAUAUUGGACAAUGGGGGAAACCCUGAUGCAGCCAUGCCGCGUGUAUGAUGAAGGCCUUCGGGUUGUAAAGUACUUUCGGCAGAGAAGCGGUAUCUGCAGAAUAAGCACCGGCUAACUACGUGCCAGCCGCCGCGGUAAUAC